rnacentral:lncRNA from 1 species
ACACUUGAUAUAGGCAUGUAGUUGGUUAAAACUGAUAGAUAAUAUAGAAGGUAUACCUUUUCCUCAGCAGACAAAGUGCGGCUAAUUUGUGGAUGAUUGUUUUGCAGAUGUGAAUUUCUUUGGGCUAUAAGUGUUCCUUAGAUGAUUUGAGUUGGGAAUUGUGUCGAAAAUGAGUUGAAAGACCAAUCUAGGGGUCUACAAAGCAAAAACCACCUGUCUCGCUGCAAUUAUACUUGGGGUUAUGAAUCAGAUGAGGUAUCCAGAGUAAAACCGGAUACCUCAUCUGAUCGAUCACACGACUUUGCCCCUUUGAUUGGAGCUGCCGGGAUGUCUGAUUAACACCAUCAAUCAACACAAAUGUAAUAAAUGUGAGUCUGUUGUCUGAAAGUUUGAGUGAGUGAGCCAGUAGAAGGAUCUAUACAAACAUUAAAUAGAAGUGUAGUCUUAAAAAGCCACUUACAAUUCUCAGAAAAUAAAGCCAGCAUGGCCUGGUAUGCUCUUAGUGUGUGAAUGCCAUCUAUUAUCAGUGCAUUGAAAGAAAGUAGGAAAGAAAGAACAGUGAGUGUAUGAGGGCAGGGUUUCUUUUAGAGGCCAAGAAGAGGAGCUGAAAUACGUUAGAAAUUAGAACCAAUUCAGUUCAUUAUCAGCUGCUGGUUUUCAUUCCUCGAGUUCCCUUGAGAAAAGUGCUGAACUCACAAGAGAUCAACUGGAGCUUCUGACACCAGAUUGCUUAGGCCUUCAGCGAUGUUAAAGACUCCAGUAGAGAUUACCCAGAGUGCCGCUGGCUUAAGGAUCGACCAGGAAGAGCUGAAAGAAGGCGAGGCUGGGAAAACGAAGGGCAGUGUUUGGAUGAGGAGGUGAACCCUCAGGAGGAGCCAGAACCCGCAAAGAGCCUCCCGGUAGAGGAAGAGCAAUUGAGCGCCUCU